UUUCAGCUGACGCGUCCCAAAUAGGGCGAAACGAGUGUCUUAGAU
rnacentral:hammerhead_ribozyme from 1 species